AGAUCAGCCUGGCAGGGGCAACACAACGAUUGUGAAGAUGGUUUCCCCAGGGUGAGGCCUGUCCCUUGCACUCCAGGCAGACUGAUUCCUGUGAGGUUCUCCAAAUGCAGAAUACUCAACUGCACAACUUUGUGGUAAUGGGGGACCGGUUUUUCGCUUUCCCUAG
ensembl:snRNA U1 U1 spliceosomal RNA